rnacentral:misc_RNA from 1 species
AAUUAUCAACCUGUUGUGGCUUUCUAUUUUGUUAGCCCCAUUUUGGCUUGGAUCUUGGAGGUUGCUGGCUUGAAUAAAGUCAGCUCCUUUUAAAUGCAUUAGCAACAUCUUUGCUGAAUUAUCCUUUUGGUGUGAUAAUUAUCUAUGCCAUUGGGAAUCACAGAUUUUGCUUCCAACUGUCUGUUUGGACAUCAUUGUACAA